CGAACGCGGGCGGCAGGAGUAACACAGGAAAGUCGAACGGGUGUAGCAAUACAUCAGUGGCAGACGGGUGAGUAACACGUGGGAACCUUCCUAGGGGUACGGAACAACUCAGGGAAACUUGAGCUAAUACCGUAUACGUCCGUAAGGAGAAAGAUUUAUCGCCCUUAGACGGGCCCGCGUCGGGUUAGCUAGUUGGUGGGGUAACGGCCUACCAAGGCGACGAUCCGUAGCUGAUCUGAGAGGAUGAUCAGCCACACUGGGACUGAGACACGGCCCAGACUCCUACGGGAGGCAGCAGUGGGGAAUCUUGGACAAUGGGCGCAAGCCUGAUCCAGCCAUGCCGCGUGAGUGAAGAAGGCCUUAGGGUUGUAAAGCUCUUUUACCAGGGACGAUAAUGACGGUACCUGGAGAAUAAGCCCCGGCCAACUUCGU
rnacentral:rRNA from 1 species